GUAGGUGGCAAGCGUUGUCCGGAAUUAUUGGGCGUAAAGCGCGCGCAGGCGGUCCUUUAAGUCUGAUGUGAAAGCCCACGGCUCAACCGUGGAGGGUCAUUGGAAACUGGGGGACUUGAGUACAGAAGAGGAAAGCGGAAUUCCAAGUGUAGCGGUGAAAUGCGUAGAGAUUUGGAGGAACACCAGUGGCGAAGGCGGCUUUCUGGUCUGUAACUGACGCUGAGGCGCGAAAGAGUGGGGAGCAAACAGGAUUAGAUACCCUGGUAGUCCACGCCGUAAACGAUGAGUACUAAGCGUUAGGGGGUUUCCCGCCCCCCUUAGUGCUGCAGCUAACGCAUUAAGCACUCCGCCUGGGGGAGUACGGCCGCAAAGCUG
rnacentral:rRNA from 1 species